rnacentral:rRNA from 1 species
AACGAGCGCUGGCGGCAGGCCUAACUCAUGCAAGUCGAGCGAGACCUUCGGGUCUAGCGGCGGACGGGUUAGUAACGCGUGGGAACGUGCCCUUCUCUGCGGAAUAGCCACUGGAAACGGUGAGUAAUACCGCAUACGCCCUUCGGGGGAAAGAUUCAUCGGAGAAGGAUCGGCCCGCGUUAGAUUAGAUAGUUGGUGGGUAACGGCCUACCAAGUCUACGAUCUAUAGCUGGUUUUAGAGGAUGAUCAGCAACACUGGGACUGAGACACGGCCCAGACUCCUACGGGAGGCAGCAGUGGGGAAUCUUAGACAAUGGGCGCAAGCCUGAUCUAGCCAUGCCGCGUGUGUGAUGAAGGUCUUAGGAUCGUAAAGCACUUUCGCCAGGGAUGAUAAUGACAAUACCUGGUAAAGAAACCCCGGCUAACUCCGUG